UUUCCGUAGGUGAACCUGCGGAAGGAUCAUUACCGAGUGAGGGUCUCUCAGGCCCGACCUCCCACCCUGUGUUUUUGUGACCUUGUUACUUUGGCGGGACCGCCUCGAUGGGAGGCCGCCGGAUGCUCACCGCUUUGGGCCCGUGCCCGUCUGUAGCCCCCUUAAAUACUUAAUAAACCUGUCGUCGGAGUUAAUGGGUAUAAUGAAAAAAAACUUUCAACAACGGAUCUCUUGGUUCUG
rnacentral:misc_RNA from 1 species